rnacentral:rRNA from 1 species
CCUACGGGCGGCAGCAGUCGAGAAUCAUUCACAAUGGGGGAAACCCUGAUGGUGCGACGCCGCGUGGGGGAAUGAAGGUCUUCGGAUUGUAAACCCCUGUCAUGUGGGAGCAAAUUAAAAAGAUAGUACCACAAGAGGAAGAGACGGCUAACUCUGUGCCAGCAGCCGCGGUAAUACAGAGGUCUCAAGCGUUGUUCGGAAUCACUGGGCGUAAGGCGUGCGUAGGCGGUUUCGUAAGUCGUGUGUGAAAGGCGCGGGCUCAACCCGCGGACGGCACAUGAUACUGCGAGACUAGAGUAAUGGAGGGGGAACCGGAAUUCUCGGUGUAGCAGUGAAAUGCGUAGAUAUCGAGAGGAACACUCGUGGCGAAGGCGGGUUCCUGGACAUUAACUGACGCUGAGGCACGAAGGCCAGGGGAGCGAAAGGGAUUAGAUACCCCAGUAGUC